rnacentral:rRNA from 1 species
GGAUAACCUGCCCAGGGGACCGGGAUAACCCCGGGAAACUGGGACUAAUACCGGAUAGGUCAGGGCUGCUGGAACGGGCUCUGGCUGAAAAGCUCCGGCGCCCCUGGAUGGGUCUGCGGCUGAUUAGGUUGUUGCCGGUGUAACGUACCGUCAAGCCUGUAAUCAGUACGGGUUGUGGGAGCAAGAGCCCGGAGAUGGAUUCUGAGACACGAAUCCAGGCCCUACGGGGCGCAGCAGGCGCGAAAACUUUACAAUGCAGGCAACUGCGAUAGGGGAACAUCGAGUGCUCAUCAUAUUGGUGGGCUGUCCAUCCGCCUAAAAAGCGGGUGUUAGCAAGGGCCGGGCAAGACCGGUGCCAGCCGCCGCGGUAAUACCGGCGGCUCGAGUGGUGGCCGAUAUUAUUGAGUCUAAAGGGUCCGUAGCCGGCUUUGCAAGUCUCUCGGGAAAUCCAGCGGCUUAACCGUUAGUCGGCCGGGGGGUACUACAUUGCUUGGGACUGGGAGAGGUAGGAGGUACUCAGGGGGUAGGAGUGAAAUCCUGUAAUCCUCUGGGGACCACCGGUGGCGAAGGCGUCCUGCCAGAACAGGUCCGACGGUGAGGGACGAAAGCUAGGGGCACGAACCGGAUUAGAUACCCGGGUAGUCCUAGCCGUAAACGAUGCUCGCUAGGUGUCGCAACAGUCGUGAAUUGUUGCGGUGCCGUAGGGAAGCCGUGAAGCGAGCCACUUGGGAAGUACGACCGCAAGGUUGAAACUUAA